rnacentral:lncRNA from 10 species
AAAUGACCUAAGAAAUUCCGAUUGUUGGUAAAUUAAUUUAAAAAGAACUUAAUGGAAAGGGGCUUCAAGAUGGCUGAGUAGAGCCGCCUGGCAUUUGCCUCCUCCACAAAAAAGGACCAAAACGAUACAAGCAUAGAAGCCAAAUUUGGAACUACUAGAGCCUCUUGGGAAUGUAGCCCAAUGGGAGGAAAGCAGACAUAUGGAAGAGAGUUUUAGGAUA